AAUAGAUGACGUCGUUGACUUUUUGUCACACGUUUGACCAUUCGUUUUAUUCAAAAAAUUUAUGUAAUUAUAAUUUAUUUUGUUGAGUUGUUUUAACACUCAAAGUACUUUAAGCAUGAUUUAUACCUUAUACAUUUGCAUAAAAUUUUUGAAUAAAAUAAAUGGUCAAACAUGUGUUCAAAAGUCAACGGUGGCAUCUAUU
rfam:Oryza sativa Japonica Group DNA, chromosome 2, cultivar: Nipponbare, complete sequence.